rnacentral:snRNA from 1 species
GAGCUCGCUUAGGCAACACAAACACUAAAAACUGAAAUGGUACAGAGCAUGGCCCCUGAGCAAGGUGAACCGUAAAUUCAUGAAGUGAUCAAUAUUUAA